GAGUUUGAUCUUGGCUCAGAGCGAACGCUGGCGGCAGGCCUAAUACAUGCAAGUCGAACGCACCUUCGGGUGAGUGGCGGACGGGUGAGUAACGCGUGGGAACGUGCCCUUUGGUACGGAACAACUGAGGGAAACUUCAGCUAAUACCGUAUGUGCCCUUCGGGGGAAAGAUUUAUCGCCAUUGGAGCGGCCCGCGUUGGAUUAGCUAGUUGGUGGGGUAAUGGCCCACCAAGGCGACGAUCCAUAGCUGGUCUGAGAGGAUGAUCAGCCACACUGGGACUGAGACACGGCCCAGACUCCUACGGGAGGCAGCAGUAGGGAAUCUUGCGCAAUGGGCGAAAGCCUGACGCAGCCAUGCCGCGUGAAUGAUGAAGGUCUUAGGAUUGUAAAAUUCUUUCACCGGGGAAGAUAAUGACGGUACCCGGAGAAGAAGCCCCGGCUAACUUCGUGCCAGCAGCAGCCGCAGU
rnacentral:rRNA from 1 species